rnacentral:rRNA from 1 species
GUAGGGAAUCUUCCGCAAUGGACGAAAGUCUGACGGAGCAACGCCGCGUGAGUGAAGAAGGUUUUCGGAUCGUAAAACUCUGUUGUCAGAGAAGAACAAGUUGGAGAGUAACUGCUCCAGCCUUGACGGUAUCUGACCAGAAAGCCACGGCUAACUACGUGCCAGCAGCCGCGGUAAUACGUAGGUGGCAAGCGUUGUCCGGAUUUAUUGGGCGUAAAGCGAGCGCAGGCGGUUCCUUAAGUCUGAUGUGAAAGCCCACGGCUCAACCGUGGAAGGUCAUUGGAAACUGGGGAACUUGAGUGCAGAAGAGGAGAGUGGAAUUCCAUGUGUAGCGGUGAAAUGCGUAGAUAUAUGGAGGAACACCAGUGGCGAAGGCGACUCUCUGGUCUGUAACUGACGCUGAGGCUCGAAAGCGUGGGGAGCAAACAGG